rnacentral:rRNA from 1 species
AACGCUGGCGGCGCGCCUAACACAUGCAAGUCGAACGAGCGAGAGAGAGCUUGCUUUCUCGAGCGAGUGGCGAACGGGUGAGUAACGCGUGAGGAACAUGCCUCAAAGAGGGGGACAACAGUUGGAAACGACUGCUAAUACCGCAUAAGCCCACGGUGCCGCAUGACACAGAGGGAAAAGGAGUAAUCCGCUUUGAGAUGGCCUCGCGUCCGAUUAGCUAGUUGGUGAGGUAACGGCCCACCAAGGCGACGAUCGGUAGCCGGACUGAGAGGUUGAACGGCCACAUUGGGACUGAGACACGGCCCAGACUCCUACGGGAGGCAGCAGUGGGGAAUAUUGCACAAUGGGGGAAACCCUGAUGCAGCGACGCCGCGUGGAGGAAGAAGGUCUUCGGAUUGUAGACUCCUGUUGUUGGGGAAGAUAAUGACGGUACCCAACAAGGAAGUGACGGCUAACUACGUGCCAGCAGCCGCGGUAAAACGUAGGUCACAAGCGUUGUCCGGAAUUACUGGGUGUAAAGGGAGCGCAGGCGGUAAGACAAGUUGGAAGUGAAAUCUAUGGGCUCAACCCAUAAACUGCUUUAAAACUGUUUUUCUUGAGUAGUGCAGAGGUAGGCGGAAUUCCCGGUGUAGCGGUGGAAUGCGUAGAUAUCGGGAGGAACACCAGUGGCGAAGGCGGCCUACUGGGCACCAACUGACGCUGAGGCUCGAAAGUGUGGGUAGCAAACAGGAUUAGAUACCCUGGUAGUCCACACCGUAAACGAUGAUUACUAGGUGUUGGAGGAUUGACCCCUUCAGUGCCGCAGUUAACACAAUAAGUAAUCCACCUGGGGAGUACGACCGCAAGGUUGAAACUCAAAGGAAUUGACGGGGGGCCCGCACAAGCAGUGGAGUAUGUGGUUUAAUUCGACGCAACGCGAAGAACCUUACCGAGUCUUGACAUCCCUUGACGAUUCUGGAAACAGCAUUUCUCUUCGGAGCAAGGAGACAGGUGGUGCAUGGUUGUC